rnacentral:lncRNA from 1 species
UCAAUUGGCCUCUUGGGGUGAUAUUUUUUGCACUAAUUUAAGGAAUCAGGUAAGCAUUCACCUUACAAGUCAUAAUAACUUUUCCGUAAAAUGGUCCAUCUGUUAAGGCCUCCUUUGAUUUACAGGGUUUGCAUAGGAAUUUUACAGGAUUGACACCCUCUGGAAUUUUCCCUUUACAUGUUGUUUGAUUCUUAGGAUUGCAUUCCUCAGGAACCAAUCCUAUAGGAACUUCUUAGUUCAUUUUUACAGGAAAACAAGCAUGAGGUUGGACUUCUUGGAAAAAAUCCUCUGUUUUGCUACCCAACGUAGGAUUUCAGUGGACGGUACAUCCUAUUCUUGUAUGUUCCCUAUUCCUGCGCUUCCUAAACCCUGUGAAUCAAAGGAGCCCUAAGUUUCUCAGCAAAGCGCACCACAAAUGUGACCAGAGCACUUCACAAUGGUCAUGGAAUUACAGUAACUAUUGGGUUAGUGAUUAUUUAUGUUGACACCCUUCUGUUCGUUGUCAAGCAAUUCAGUAUUGGUGUUGAUGGACUUUUCUCUUUGGAUUGACAUCAAUACGGGGCAAUAUGAUUUAACGGUGAAGGAUGUGAGGCUAUGGUUAGGACAUGUGUACUAUGUAAUGGUUGGUUUGGCAUAAUAAUAAUAAUUCAUCUUUCCAUGUACUCUAUUGCCUGGUUUGAAGUUCAUUUUGAAUCAUGUGAUGUUUCGCCGUAGAAUUCAUCUAUCGAUGCUCUAUACUUUGAACUGUGUAUAUUUUCUUAGCAAUUUGUACAACACCUAGGCAAAUAUAAGAUCUAUGUUUCAUGUCUCCAUAUAUAUAUAUAUAUAUAUACAAGGAAUGUCUUAUCACUCUUAUCGUAUAGAACUACACUAGCACGAAGAAGGUCCACAACCAGUUCAAUACAAUAAAAGGCCCAAUAACUACUGGUAAAUUAUAAUUCAUAUCUUAAAGUUGAAAUUACUCAGAAGUAUAUAAUACUGCCACUACAUCAACUUUAAGUAAAAAACCUCCACAUAUGCGUCAAACCCAAACAUUAUAUAUUAAAAGGGACAGGCGCGGCAACGCGCGCCACCAAUGAUCUAGUA